UAUAUAAACUAUACAGUGAUUUGUUCUUGAAAGAUGAUACCUGUUUUGCAGAUUGCUUCUGCUGGAAAAUGUGUUCUUUAUGUUCGAAUAAUUCCCUGAUCUGUAGCAGAAUAUAAAAAGGCCGAACUCUACUUGCUGUUACAAUUAUUAUUUUGAUGAAGAAACUGGCGGGUGUGUAGAAUGCGAUCUGGGCAGCUUUGGUUGGAAUUGUAAAAAAACGAUGUGUUAGUGGAUAGUACGGUUAUCUGUGCCAAAAACAAUGCAAAUGUGAAGCUCGUCAUUGUGACCCGGUUACUGGGUGCAAAACAUCUGUUCAUGAUUACAACGCUGGUGAAACAAUGUAUCCCAACAAUUCAACGGUGGAGAUCAUCACACAAGAAGUAGGACCGGCAGAACUCACAGAGAAAUAUGUACAGACACUUAGAGUAAACCCGAUAGACACCGCACAUGUUAAAGACGGCGUUCCUGAAGACAAACAUUCAGAUCAUCACGACACCAAUCAAUGGUUGUCAGUGACUUUCCUUCUGAUUGGUUCUUUAGUAACAAUUUUCAUUGUUGGAAUUCUGUUUUAUCUACGGAUAACAAGACGGUGAUGUUUUGUAAAAUUUACAAUGGUCACAUAUGCAACAAUCAUAUUAGCUUCAAACGGAAUAUAGAUAAUGUGUUUUCUUCUUUUAGGUGUAAAAGUAAUUCCAGAUACCCGGGACUAGAUGGUAAUGUUAUUCAACAAGAAUUUGAUGAAGACCCCGCCGAUACGACUCUAGAUGAGGAGGAACAGUCGGACGACUACGCCGAAAUUCGAUACUCACAAUUUAAAGAUUGCAACUUUACUUCUAGACAAUCUGAUAAUUCAACCUGUAGGGGAGAUGGAACGGGGGAUUUUAGAAUCAGAAAUCAAACAAAUCAAAACGUUUAGGAUAGAUAUAUCAAUGACGUUUUGUCUAUUAAUAAUGAUAGCUUUCAUUCAUAUGUCGAUUUGAUAUAUCCCUGUGAGCUCGAAAUAAAGGACACCACAGAGUCGUCCACUUCUGCUUCAUA